UACGUAGGGGGCAAGCGUUGUCCGGAUUUAUUGGGCGUAAAGAGCGUGUAGGCGGUUUGGUAGGUCCGUUGUGAAAACUCGAGGCUCAACCUCGAGACGCCGGCGGAAACCAUCAGGCUAGAGUCCGGAAGAGGAGAGUGGAAUUCCUGGUGUAGCGGUGAAAUGCGCAGAUAUCAGGAGGAACACCGGUGGCGAAGGCGGGUCUCUGGGCCGAUACUGACGCUGAGACGCGAAAGCGUGGGGAGCGAACAGG
rnacentral:rRNA from 1 species